GGUUGAGUGGUGUAGUGGUAACACGUUGGCUUCACAUCUAGUGGUACUUCGGUAUCACUUGUGAAGUCGCUGCAGCCCCGGGUUCGAUUCCCGGCUCGACUA
rnacentral:tRNA from 1 species